rnacentral:lncRNA from 1 species
AGCAGCCCCUCUACUCUUUAAGAAAGACCUCAUUACCAGCCUCAUUGAUUGUGCUUCCUGCAUCAACGACCACAGCUUCUUCUACCACACCAGCUGAGAGAGAGAGAGAGAGAGAGAGGGGAGGCUUAGCCCAGUGCAUCUGUGUGUCCUGCAUUAUGGGUAGGGAGGUAAGCAGUAGGCAGGAGGUUUAUGGUGCUGUAAUUGGUAGUUAGUGUGAUAUUUGUAAGACAAAUAGAGCUAUAUGUGCGAUUCCUCCUCUCUCUCUCCUCUCUAGUCUUUACAGCCACCAAAGGGCCUCAUUAUAGCCCACUGCAACCCAGGCCUCACUGCAUCGCACACACACACACGAAGGGCAGGAAGUUGUGUGUGACAGUUCGGCUGCCAGGACUGAUAGAUGAUACACAUCAGCACUCAGUCUCUUCACCGUCACGCCAGCAUUCCGGAUUUGUAUUCCUGGAUGCACAAACAGUGUGUAAUUAUCCCAGCCUCCCUGCUGUUCUUUCUCUCUGUCUCUCUCUCUCUCCCUCAUUCGAUCUCUGCAUAUCCCACACCGGAGAGACCGAGACCCAAGAUUAUUCUCUCUCUCUCGCUGUCGCUGUCACACAAGAGGAAAAGAGCUCCUCUCUUCAUUACAGAAGGACCUGAUCCAACUUGAAAGAUGCAGCCAUUAUUCUUGACUGUCUGGACUCCCCCCCCCUCUCUCUUCCCUGUCACAGGCUUAUUG